AACAACAACUUUGUCUGAGAAAAUGCGCAUCGUGGUCUUGCUGUUGUCUCAGCCAUAUUCAUUAUCAGGAAGAAGAAGAAAGAAGACAGAAGAAGAAGGCGAAGCUCUCUUCAUUCACUUCGAAAUCAGUUUCGCUUCCUAUCUGGGGAAAGGAGGGUUUUAGUUAUGGGAAAUGGGGGGUCAACACAUGAUUCUCAUGAUGAUUUCUUCCAGCAACCCCCUUCCCAUGAUGGUAGUUCGGGGAAUGCUAGCUAUCAAGAUCAGCCCUCUUCAUAUGCUGGGAGUUCAGUGAAUACUAGCCAUCAAGAUCAUCAAUCCUCUUCAUACGCUGGGAGUUCACGGAAUCCCAGAUAUCAACAUAAGCAGCGACCCACAUAUAUAGCUGACAAUUUCAGUUCACUGGAUCAGGUUGUUUCUGCUUUGAGAGAAGCUGGUCUGGAAUCUUCAAAUUUAAUAAUUGGCAUUGAUUUCACCAAAAGCAAUGAGUGGACAGGUAAGCACUCCUUCAACCACAAAAGCCUACAUUAUAUUGGAAACACUCCGAAUCCAUAUGAGCAAGCAAUAUCUAUCAUUGGCCGUACUCUCUCUUCAUUUGAUGAAGACAAUCUGAUACCAUGUUUUGGAUUUGGUGAUGCGUCUACACAUGAUCAGAAUGUGUUCAGCUUUUAUCCUGAUCAUCGUUGUUGUCAUGGUUUUGAGGAAGUACUUGCACGCUAUCGAGAGAUUGUGCCACACUUAAGAUUGUCAGGUCCAACAUCAUUUGCCCCUGUAAUUGAUGCAGCAAUUGACAUUGUGCAAAAAAGCAAUCGUCAAUAUCAUGUGCUUGUCAUUAUUGCUGAUGGACAGGUUUUAUCGAUUUUUUUAUUCCAUUUUUUUCUUUUCUUGACAUGAUUUAGUUAUCUUUUAUUAAUUUUAUUGUGUUUCUGGAAUAUCUUUUAUUGUAGGUUACUAGAAAUUCAGAUACACCACAUGGAAAGUUUAGUCCACAGGAACAAGCAACUGUUAAUUCUAUCAUUGCAGCAAGUCACUAUCCUCUCUCAAUUAUUUUGGUUGGAGUUGGUGAUGGACCAUGGGAUGAAAUGCAGCACUUCGAUGAUAACAUUACUCAGCGCUUAUUUGACAACUUUCAGUUUGUGAAUUUUACAAAGAUCAUGUCUGAGAACAAAGAGGUAUCAAAGAAAGAAGCAGCAUUUGCACUUUCUGCCCUUAUGGAAAUUCCAAUUCAGUACCGGAUAACCCAAAAUCUACAAGUUGCUGAUGAAAAAUCGAGAAGUUAUCAGCAUAAAAGGCCUCUUCCUCCACCCAAGGAAGUAAUAGAUCAUGACAAUGCAGUCCAGGCAGUUCCACAUGUGACAAAUUUUGAAUCAGUUGAGCCAACAGCUCCAGCAGAAAUAGAAUCAGCAUGCCCUAUUUGCCUAACCAACCCGAAGGACAUGGCUUUUGGAUGUGGUCAUACAACUUGCAAGGAGUGUGGCGUGACAUUAUCUUCAUGCCCUAUGUGCAGGGAGCAAAUUACAACUCGCCUGAGACUGUACACUUGAGUUGGAGAUUUCUUGGCUUCUAAUUUAUGCUUUGUUAUAUUGCCGCCAUUGCCCGUUGAUAAGGAAUGUAUAACGACCACCUGUAAAAUCUCUUGACCUUCCAGAGAACAAAAUAAGAUGUACAGAAAGGCUGGGAUGUAUAGUUUGCGUUUAAACAUAAUGUUCAUUAAAUUUUAGUGUGUUAGAAUAUCUAUUCCUCCAUAAUAAAAUUCAGUCUUUGUUG